rnacentral:rRNA from 1 species
CAGCCGCCACGGUAAAACGGAGGGUGCAAGCGUUAAUCGGAAUUACUGGGCGUAAAGCGCACGCAGGCGGUCUGACAAGUCAGAUGUGAAAUCCCCGGGCUUAACCUGGGAACUGCAUUUGAAACUGUCAGGCUGGAGUCUUGUAGAGGGGGGUGGAAUUCCAGGUGUAGCGGUGAAAUGCGUAGAGAUCUGGAGGAAUACCGGUGGCGAAGGCGGCCCCCUGGACAAAGACUGACGCUCAGGUGCGAAAGCGUGGGGAGCAAACAGGAUUAGAUACCCGUGUAGUCCCUGUCUCUUAUAA